GAGUUUGAUCCUGGCUCAGAGUGAACGCUGGCGGCGUGCCUAAUACAUGCAAGUCGAACGAUGAAGCUUCUAGCUUGCUAGAAGUGGAUUAGUGGCGCACGGGUGAGUAACGCAUAGGUCAUGUGCCUCUUAGUUUGGGAUAGCCAUUGGAAACGAUGAUUAAUACCAGAUACUCCCUACGGGGGAAAGAUUUAUCGCUAAGAGAUCAGCCUAUGUCCUAUCAGCUUGUUGGUAAGGUAAUGGCUUACCAAGGCUAUGACGGGUAUCCGGCCUGAGAGGGUGAACGGACACACUGGAACUGAGACACGGUCCAGACUCCUACGGGAGGCAGCAGUAGGGAAUAUUGCUCAAUGGGGGAAACCCUGAAGCAGCAACGCCGCGUGGAGGAUGAAGGUUUUAGGAUUGUAAACUCCUUUUGUUAGAGAAGAUAAUGACGGUAUCUAACGAAUAAGCACCGGCUAACUCCGUGCCAGCAGCCGCGGUAAUACGGAGGGUGCAAGCGUUACUCGGAAUCACUGGGCGUAAAGAGCGCGUAGGCGGGAUAGUCAGUCAGGUGUGAAAUCCUAUGGCUUAACCAUAGAACUGCAUUUGAAACUACUAUUCUAGAGUGUGGGAGAGGUAGGUGGAAUUCUUGGUGUAGGGGUAAAAUCCGUAGAGAUCAAGAGGAAUACUCAUUGCGAAGGCGACCUGCUGGAACAUUACUGACGCUGAUUGCGCGAAAGCGUGGGGAGCAAACAGGAUUAGAUACCCUGGUAGUCCACGCCCUAAACGAUGGAUGCUAGUUGUUGGAGGGCUUAGUCUCUCCAGUAAUGCAGCUAACGCAUUAAGCAUCCCGCCUGGGGAGUACGGUCGCAAGAUUAAAACUCAAAGGAAUAGACGGGGACCCGCACAAGCGGUGGAGCAUGUGGUUUAAUUCGAAGAUACACGAAGAACCUUACCUAGGCUUGACAUUGAGAGAAUCCGCUAGAAAUAGUGGAGUGUCUAGCUUGCUAGACCUUGAAAACAGGUGCUGCACGGCUGUCGUCAGCUCGUGUCGUGAGAUGUUGGGUUAAGUCCCGCAACGAGCGCCAACCCCCUUUCUUAGUUGCUAACAGGUCAUGCUGAGAACUCUAAGGAUACUGCCUCCGUAAGGAGGAGGAAGGUGGGGACGACGUCAAGUCAUCAUGGCCCUUACGCCUAGGGCUACACACGUGCUACAAUGGGGUGCACAAAGAGAAGCAAUACUGCGAAGUGGAGCCAAUCUUCAAAACGCCUCUCAGUUCGGAUUGUAGGCUGCAACUCGCCUGCAUGAAGCUGGAAUCGCUAGUAAUCGCAAAUCAGCCAUGUUGCGGUGAAUACGUUCCCGGGUCUUGUACUCACCGCCCGUCACACCAUGGGAGUUGUGUUUGCCUUAAGUCAGGAUGCUAAACUAGCUACUGCCCACGGCACACACAGCGACUGGGGUGAAGUCGUAACAAGGUAACCGUAGGUGAACCUGCGGUUGGAUCACC
rnacentral:rRNA from 1 species